CCUACAAGUCCUUUACUGACGCUAAAGCUCGAAGGUGCGGGUAUCGAACAGGAUUAGAUACCCUGGUAGUCCGCACGGUAAACGAUGGAUGCCCGCUGUUUGCGAUAUAUUGUGAGCGGCCAAGCGAAAGCGUUAAGCAUCCCACCUGGGGAGUACGCCGGCAACGGUGAAACUCAAAGGAAUUGACGGGGGCCCGCACAAGCGGAGGAACAUGUGGUUUAAUUCGAUGAUACGCGAGGAACCUUACCCGGGCUUGAACUGCAGCAGAACGAUUGAGAGAUCAUGAGGUCCUUCGGGACUGCUGUGGAGGUGCUGCAUGGUUGUCGUCAGCUCGUGCCGUGAGGUGUCGGCUUAAGUGCCAUAACGAGCGCAACCCCUCUCUUCAGUUGCCAUCACUUCGGGUGGGCACUCUGGAGACACUGCCACCGUAAGGUGUGAGGAAGGUGGGGAUGACGUCAAAUCAGCACGGCCCUUACGUCCGGGGCUACACACGUGUUACAAUGGGUGGUACAGAGCGUCGGCCGCCGGCAACGUCGGUCCAAUCGUGAAAUCCAUCCUCAGUUCGGACUGGGGUCUGCAACCCGACCCCACGAAGCUGGAU
rnacentral:rRNA from 1 species